rnacentral:rRNA from 1 species
AUCGAACGCUGGCGGCAGGCCUAAUACAUGCAAGUCGAGCGAGCGGCGGACGUGUGAGCAAUGUAGGGGGAUUGCCCGAGAGAGGGGGAUAACUACUGGAAACGGUGGCUAAUACCGCAUAUUAUCGGAUAACCCAUAUGGGAUAAGCUAGUAGGUGGGGUAAAGGCUCACCUAGGCGACGAUCUCUAGAUGGUCUGAGAGGAUGAUCAGCCACACUGGGACUGAGACACGGCCCAGACUCCUACGGAGGCAGCAGUGGGGAAUAUUGCACAAUGGACGAAAGCCUGAUGCAGCCAUGCCGCGUGUAUGAAGAAGGCCUUAGGGUUGUAAAGUACUUUCGGCGGGGAGGCGUUACCCACAGAGAAAGCACCGGCUAACUACGUGCCAGCAGCCGCGGUAAUUC